AUGCACAGCAUAGCCAAGAUCCUCUGCAAGUCGCUAGCUAAUAGGCUGGCCCCGGAGCUUGACUCCCUCGUCUCUCCUUCUCAGAGCGCCUUCAUAAAAAAGAGAUGUAUUCAGGACAAUUUCCUUUACGUGCACAAUGUCAUUAAAGAGGCUCACACCAAGAAGAAGGCAUUAGUCUUCCUCAAGCUUGACAUUGCCAAAGCGUUUGAUUCCGUUGGUUGGGGAUUCUUGUUAGAGACCAUGUCUGCUUUUGGUUUCAGUCAGCGCUGGAGAAAUAUUGUGUCUGCCAUUCUGAGCUCCGCUUCCUCAAGAAUUUUGUUAAAUGGCACCCCCGGCACGCCCUUCAGGCAUAUGCGCGGCCUUCGCCAGGGAGACCCCCUGUCUCCAAUGCUGUUCAUUCUCGUCAUGGAGCCGCUUCCGAGACUGUUGGAUCUUGCAACAGAACGCGGGGUUCUAUCUCAGUUGGGACCUAAGGCGGCCAGAUUUCGGACAAGUAUGUAUGCGGAUGAUGCGGCCCUAUUUUUAAACCCUGUCAAGGAGGAAGUGCGUGCGGUCAGAGCAAUACUGGACAGGUUUGGGGAGGCCUCUGGACUCAAGAUCAACACCCAGAAAUGCGUUGCCUAUCCUGUUAGGUGUGAGGGGCUGGACUUCCAGGAUAUUAUCCAAGAUUUUGGUGGGACGACGGGCUCUCUCCCGUGUCGUUACCUUGGCCUACCACUCAGCUAUCGCAAGCUUAGGCGAAUCGAAGUCCUCCCUCUCUUGGAUGGUAUGGCUGGAAGACUCAAGGGAUGGAAAGGCAAACUGAUGACAAAACCGGGAAGACUCGCCUAA
rnacentral:rRNA from 1 species